AUGGGAGGGGCCCCAGUAGCAGGAGCGGGAACAUGGAGGUGCAUCCGUGCUGCAGGCUGUGUCAGGGACCUGUUACCCAGGGGUGGAGAUAGGCCAUUUUCAUCAGGGUCAUCGUCACAUGGAGCGACAUGGUCGUCCUGGUGAGAGGCAGCGCCCAGGGAAAUCGGACCGGGAACAGCCGGGGUAAUGGGAGUCUGAGGAGCAAGUGACGUGUUGUGGGAACUGCCCAGCUGUGAC